AUACACAAGGCUUAUGACCGUGUGGAAUGGUGUUUUCUUGAAGGUAUCAUGCUGAAGAUGGGAUUUGAUGUGAGAUGGGUAUAUCUAAUUAUGGCAUGCGUUAAAUCUGUGACUUAUUCAAUGAGGUUUAAUUCACUGGUAACAGAAAGGUUUACUCCAUCUCGAGGCCUACGACAGGGCGACCCACUUAGCCCAUAUCUAUUCCUAUUGGUGGCAGAGGGUUUAUCUAUCUUACUUUCGGAUGCAGAAGAGAGAGGAAUGUUAGAAGGGGUGAAAGUUUGCCGAGAUGCACCCUCGGUUUCACAUCUUCUAUUUGCCGAUGAUUCUUUGAUUUUGAUGAAAGCGGAUGGGGUCAAUGCAAAUUCUUUAAGAGAUGUUCUGCAAUCAUACUGUAGUGCGUCUGGACAAUUGGUAAGUGAAGCCAAAUGU
rnacentral:rRNA from 1 species